GCCUCGAUAUCCUCCAGUCCUCCACCACCACCACCGUCCACACGAAGGACAAGCAUUGGUUCUUCUCCGCACUUUGUUCACGUCCAUUUGACUCCAUGACUGGCAUGGGACCAAUAGGCUAAUACCAAGCUUUGAGCUUAGCAUGCUUACCCCGUGCUUGGCACGUGGAACACCGUGACCAGAGAUGCUCAUCCAGACAUCCCGGGGCCGUUGGUUUGUUCACGUCUUCUGAUUGGCGGGGCCUUCUACCUUACACGGCAUGCAUUGUCGGGAUUCUGAGGGGAGUAGCAGGUGCGGAGGACAAAGGGACAAGGGGGGAAAGAAGGCUACUCCACGGAGAUCUGAGGAAACAUGGAGGCUUGGGGGAUGGCGGCGGCGACAGUAUGCAACACAGUCUGACGACCUCUUGAAGCCACUCGGAAGAAGAGGCCGAGCCCAGAUCUCCAGCCUCCAGCCUCCAGCCUCUUGUCCUUCAUUCCCAUCAUCUUUCUAAUGAUAAGACAGUAGCAAA